UUUUUUUUUUAACAGCUAAGGGUGUACUUCAAUCGUUAUAUAUUUAUCUCCAAAAAAUACGAGCGUACGCGUAAAAUAUGAUCGCAUCAUGAAUACAAAUCGAACGUCGUAUUAUAUAAUAAUAUAGCGACGUAAAGCGACACUUAACAUAUUAAUAUUAAUAUAAUUUAAAAAAAAAAAAAAAAAUCAACAACAUUUAUAGUUGAACUGACACUUUAAAUGUAUUAUUAUUAUUGUUAUUAUUAUAAGCGUAUAACUUAUGAUAAUUUUUUUUUUUUUUUAAAAUAUGAGUAAAAUAUUAUAAUAUGAUUAAUAUAAUUAAUGAGAUAGAUGAUUUAUGUUGCAGAACCGCGCGGGAGACUGCUAUAUAAAAAAAAAAAAUAAUAAUAAUAAUAAUAUGACGACGAUUGAUACAAUAAAAUAUCGGACAACCGCAUCAUCGCUGUGCACACGGCCUCGCGCCCAGUAUAGUGAUGUUCCUCAUCUCUUGCUCGAUCAAAACGCCC